rnacentral:lncRNA from 1 species
CAUGCUACUCUCCCAGUUCGUCCCACCCUCUUCUCCCCGCGCUGUGUCCACGAGGCUGUUGUCUGUGUCCGCAUCUCUGCUGCUGCCUGCUGCAGUGUCAGUUUUCAAUAAGAGGAUGAGAGAAGGGACAAAGCAGGGCUUGACGUCUGGCUCCUGGACAGAGAAAAAGGGAAGCCAAGAUUCUGGGAUGAUAUUAAGAAACUCCACUUUGAUACAGUUAGACCUGGAGCUCAAUAGCCAACUCAGAAGAAGUUUGCUGAUCUCUGCUGCAGGCUCAUGCCUCUCCAUCUUCCACACCUACCUCGGACUAAGAAUCAAGCCAAAGUGUUAGGGUGGAAAGGAAAGGAGGCACCCUUGUCUAGUUUCAUGCUUUGACUGCUGCUGACCUGGUCAGUCGCUGGAGAAUUCCCCUGAACCUCUUAGAAUCUCCAUCUCCUCGUUUAUUGAAUGAGAACAAUAGUACUAGCCUCAGUUAGGAUAAAUACCUGAAACAAGUCCCAAAAGAGCACAGCAUAGGGCUGGAGGGAAAAAAUAAAACUAUCGCGAUAAAAUAAUUGUAGUUACCA